rnacentral:misc_RNA from 1 species
CAACCCUCGAGCCCCUCCGGGGGGUCGGCGUUGGGGAUCGGCCCUCCCUCGCGGGGGCCGGCCCCGAAAUCCAGUGGCGGUCUCGCCGCAGCCUCUCCUGCGCAGUAGUUUGCACAACUCGCACCGGGAGCGCGGCGGGCCCAUGCCGUAAAACAACCCAACCUUCUGAAA